rnacentral:rRNA from 1 species
UACGUAGGGGCUAGCGUUGUCCGGAAUCAUUGGGCGUAAAGAGCGUGUAGGCGGCCCGGUAAGUCCGCUGUGAAAGUCGGGGCUCAACCCUCGAAAGCCGGUGGAUACUGUCGGGCUCGAGUACGGAAGAGGCGAGUGGAAUUCCUGGUGUAGCGGUGAAAUGCGCAGAUAUCAGGAGGAACACCAAUUGCGAAGGCAGCUCGCUGGGACGUUACUGACGCUGAGACGCGAAGCGUGGGAGCAAACGGG